UAGAAGAUGGAAGAGGAAGAUGUCUCAUGCCACGUUGCUACAUUUUCCACAUGUGGGUUGAAAAUUUGGCGCUGAAAACGGCAACAGUUUGUAAGUGAACGAAUUUGCUGUAAAAGGAAAAAGGGCCUUUUCUGAAUGCGUCUUACGUCUUACAUAAUGUACAAGGAACAGGCAGUAACCGUUAACUACCGACUUCAAAAAGAUUGGAGAUUGGAUGCGUCCUCAGCCAAAGAAAACACAUUCGUGUUCGAUAGUGAAGAAUGUACUGCUUGUCGAAGUUUGUCUUCCAGAUAAUUUGCAGGGUUGACAUUUAAUAUGGAAUUUAAUAUCAAUUUUUGUCAUUUGAUACAGCAUUUACUUUGGGUUGUAAUAUUUUAGAAAAAAGGGAGAGUCAAAUGAAAUACAAAGUAACGCAUUUGAUUAAUGAAACGUGUGAAUACCAUGAAAAAAUUAAAGAAAUUGAUGCUUUAUGUGUGCCAAACGUCAACCCUGCAUUUUGCUGGUAUAAAUACUAGAGUAGAUACAUGUGGUACCUAUUCAUUGUAUAGAACUCCUACCGUUCGUGGUAUUUUUUACUUUAAUGUUUAAUACAUUUUGGGCUGGAGCGGUUAAAAUCAGUUUUUGAAAAGCCUAGAAGUGAUACUUUUGGAGUUCUUAUUUGAUAAUUAUCUUUUUAACAUCAAAAUCUAUUUGAAGAUCAGGCCAGACAAAAUUGAUGACUGGUUUACAAGCGUCGACUUUUUGUGGACAGGGUUGGAUGAUUGAAAUUAUAUAUUUUUUGCUUUAUAAACAUGUGGUGUUUAAAUAGUAGUUAAAUUUUAGGGCCAAUCUUUUCAGAAAAAAAUCCCAUCUGCCAAACCAAAGUUAAUAUCAGUCUUUUCAUAAAAAAUUCACUCACAUCACUCGAAAAGAAUGAGCGCGAGAAAUUUAUUUCCUCAAAAGUAUUGUUGGUCCCGCUCGUUUCAGAAGUCAUCAAAUUUUUGUCUGACCUAAGAAUGCUGUGUGUGCGCAAAUCUGCAAUAAUGCACUUAGUUCUGCAUUUGUAGAGGUGUUUUUAAAUAUAAUAUAAAAUAUAAACAUUUUGGUAAAGUUGAUGUUUGGGAAGAAAAAUACGUUGUCGCAACCCCAUCAAACGUCCAAUUUCCGAGAUGCAAAUUUUGUGCGUUUUGUUGAAGGAGAGAAUGAGGUGUAAAUUUUCAUAAACUUAAUUACUUGUUGACUUGUUCUAAAAAAAUCUUCAAAAAUUAGUAUUGAGAAGCUGACACGUACCAACAUUUUUGCAGAAUUGCUCACACUUACAGACAAAUAUACGAUUGUGAUGCAUGCUAAGAAUAAACUUGCUUUGGUUUUCGGUGUUUUGAUUUUGUGUUUCUGAUCAGUUUCUGACAGGCCCUUAUUUUUAAUGCUGGAAGGGUACUACAUUUUUGCUUUAGGAAAAUGAAACCAGGGUCGGGAUAUUUUGAUUUAUCUCAAAAUCAUCAUUUGUUUUUGCAGUAAGAACCUUUGACGUUUGAAAAUUCUUUCUCAAAAUCAAAUUAAUUUCUUAUGCGUUGAAAACAAAUAGAAUAUUUGGUUAACGAGUCGAUGGCAUUUUGGCGACCAACUUUUCCAAAGGAGACGAGAAACGAGUUAAUAGUACUUUUACAAAAUAAACCUUUACAAACUUUUUCUAACUUCUACAAAUUUUAUGAUAGUACCUUGUAUCUUUAAUCAAAUGCACAGAAAUCUAAAUCCUAUCACAAUGUUUACAUUCAUUAGUUUGAAAUUUUCGACUCGCCAACUUGAACAGAAUUUCACAGCUAGUUUUCUAUGUCUGAAAAUACUAGCAGUACUUACUAAAUUUUAUUUUGGGGCUAAUUGUCUGCUGCUCAGAGAAAACCGCAAACCAAGGUGAGUCUGUUAGCACUGUCUGAAUGAAUGUGUGAAGUUUUUCCAAGUAAAAGGAUUUUUGCGUAACAGUUUUAUUUGUAUAAUAUAAAUGGCUUUGACUUUGAUAAUCUUGUAAACUGACCAUGUCCUUGUCGUACCAGAUUGGCACACUGUUAAAAAUUUUAGUUUCAUGCAAUAUUGUCCUAUCAAGUACCUAUUCUAGGAUUUAAUGUGAAAACAAAAUGAUGCAUAUCAUGAGCUACAUUAAUCAAUGAGCAAAAUAACGAAUCUUACUUUUGGGAUUGCCAUCAAAACGACAUACAUGCAGAACAAGGUGUGCUUGUCUGGGAAACACGGAAAUGAGAUCAUAUGCAUUUUGAAUUUUGAAUUUUGGAUAUUUUUCUCAUCGCUUAAUUUGGACAAAAUUUUCAUCAAAGAAAUGACAUAAACACUUUCAACGAAAAUUCCAAAUUAUAAUUUGAUUUGGAUUUCAGUAUUCAAUAUUUUAUAUUCAGUUUGUCUGUUGGUUCUGGUCAAAAUUUUAAAAGUUUUUUGGCGGAUCAUUAUAUAUUCCUGACCUUUUAUAUAUUAGUCAAAGCAGAAAAUCAUUUCAGCUGCAAUUUUCAAAAUGCAUAAUUAUCUUUGGCAUUUUUUAACUUGGCCUGGAGUUUUAAACUGCAUCAUGUUACAAAACC